GACGAACGCUGGCGGCGUGCCUAAUACAUGCAAGUCGAGCGCAGGAAACUGACGGAACUCUUCGGAGGGAAGGCAGUGGAAUGAGCGGCGGACGGGUGAGUAACACGUAAGGAACCUGCCUCAAGGAUUGGGAUAACUCCGAGAAAUCGGAGCUAAUACCGGAUAGUUCAACGGACCGCAUGGUCCGCUGAUGAAAGGCGCUUCGGCGUCACCUUGAGAUGGCCUUGCGGUGCAUUAGCUAGUUGGUGGGGUAACGGCCCACCAAGGCGACGAGGCGAAGCCGACCUGAGAGGGUGAUCGGCCACACUGGGACUGAGACACGGCCCGGACUCCUACGGGAGGCAGCAGUAGGGAAUCUUCCACAAUGGACGAAAGUCUGAUGGAGCAACGCCGCGUGAGUGAUGAAGGUUUUCGGAUCGUAAAACUCUGUUGUAAGGGAAGAACACGUACGAGAGGAAAUGCUCGUACCUUGACGGUACCUUACGAGAAAGCCACGGCUAACUACGUGCCAGCCGCCGCAGUAA
rnacentral:rRNA from 1 species